AGAAAUCUGACUCGGAAGGGCUGCAAGUUGCAAAAGGGAGAAAAUGACGUGCACAUAGGAAGUGGGCUAACCCCUUUAUUUUUGACAUGUGAAACCUGCAAUGACAAUCAACUAACUAGUUCCACAUACCUCCUUCACAGGCCCGUGAGAACUGAUGUCAUGUUGUUACUGUCACUCUGUCAAAGGCCUGGGAGUCCGUGGUCAAGCUAGGAUCUGAGCCAUGUUUCCCUGCUGCCAUCUUCACGCAGAUUCAUCCCUUGUGAUUUGCAUUCAUAGAACCUGCGGCUUAUUUGGGGGCAUGUGUCUAUGUGUGAUCCCUUUCACAGAGGACUGUGGGAAUUUAAAUCUCCCUGGGCCUGUAACGGCCCUUCCUUAAUCCCGUGUUGUCCCAAGGGCCCAGUGUGUGUGUUGGAGAAAGGCCGUGUGAGUGUGUUUGCAGGAAUGGGGUUUUCUCCUGUGGGUGUGGGUUAUAGCACAGUGCUUCCCUGGGGCACUGUGAACUCAGUUUCCAUCUUGCAGGGCCUCCACAGGUAGCAGCCAUGACCCCACACCAGCCACCCAGAGGAGACAGAGACACCUUGGGCAGUGGAGGUGCACGGUGUGCUCGGAAGUGUGACUAGCUGGCCAGCAUGUCAGCUUCAGAGCCUCAUUCUGUAGACUUGAUGAGCACAGCACUCGAACAAGACCUGGUUUGUGAACUCUCCUUAAAAAAGAGAACUGUUUAGAGAUGAACGCUUUGAAGAACCAUUACAGUCAUUUGUUGAUUCUAUUCACAAGCUUUAAAUUUGGGACUUUUGAGAAAUGAAUGUUUGCUGUUGUGUGAAAGCAGAUUUUUGAGAACUGCUUUUUUUGCCUCCAGGUAGUGCUUUUUCCUUACUGUCUCCCUUUAAUGUCACAUAAAUAAAGUGAUUUUCAUGA